AACGAACGCUGGCGGCAUGCCUAACACAUGCAAGUCGAACGAGACCUUCGGGUCUUGUGGCGCUCGUGUGCGUACCGCGUGGUAACCUGCCCUUAGGUUCGGUAUACCUCCCCGUAAGGGGUCUUCAUACCGGUUAAUGUCUUCCCACCUAAGAUUUGUCGCCUUUGGAUGGGCCCGCGUUGGUUUAGCUAGUUGGUAGGGUAAAAGCCUACUAAGGGGAUGAUACAUAGCUGGUCAGAGAGGAUGACCAGACACAGUGGGACUGAGACACGGGCCAGACACGGAAGGGAGGAAGGAGUGGGGAAGAAUAGAGAAUGGGAGAAAGACGGAGCAAGCAAUGGCGCGUGAGGGAUGAAGGCGGUAGGGAUGUAAAGCUCGUUUGGCCGGGAGGAUAAUGAAAGUAAAGGGAGAAUAAGCGCCGGCUAACUCAGUG
rnacentral:rRNA from 1 species